GGAGACUUGUCAGAGUGGCCGAACGAGCACGCUUGGAAAGCGUGUUUACCGCAAGGUAACGAGGGUUCGAAUCCCUCAGUCUCCG
rnacentral:tRNA from 2 species